rnacentral:rRNA from 1 species
CCUACGGGAGGCUGCAGUGGGGAAUAUUGGACAAUGGGCGAAAGCCUGAUCCAGCCAUGCCGCGUGUGUGAAGAAGGCCUUCGGGUUGUAAAGCACUUUCAGUGGGGAAGAAAGCCUUGGGGCUAAUACCCUCGAGGAAGGACAUCACCCACAGAAGAAGCACCGGCUAACUCCGUGCCAGCAGCCGCGGUAAUACGGAGGGUGCGAGCGUUAAUCGGAAUUACUGGGCGUAAGGCGCGCGUAGGCGGUCUGAUAAGCCGGUUGUGAAAGCCCCGGGCUCAACCUGGGAACGGCAUCCGGAACUGUCAGGCUAGAGUGCAGGAGAGGAAGGUAGAAUUCCCGGUGUAGCGGUGAAAUGCGUAGAGAUCGGGAGGAAUACCAGUGGCGAAGGCGGCCUUCUGGACUGACACUGACGCUGAGGUGCGAAAGCGUGGGUAGCAAACAGGAUUAGAUACCCCUGUAGUC